GAUGAACGCUGGCGGCGUGCUUAACACAUGCAAGUCGAGCGAAGCACUUAAGUUUGAUUCUUCGGAUGAAGACUUUUGUGACUGAGCGGCGGACGGGUGAGUAACGCGUGGGUAACCUGCCUCAUACAGGGGGAUAACAGUUAGAAAUGACUGCUAAUACCGCAUAAGACCACAGGGUCGCAUGACCCGGUGGUAAAAACUCCGGUGGUAUGAGAUGGACCCGCGUCUGAUUAGCUAGUUGGUGGGGUAACGGCUCACCAAGGCGACGAUCAGUAGCCGACCUGAGAGGGUGACCGGCCACAUUGGGACUGAGACACGGCCCAAACUCCUACGGGAGGCAGCAGUGGGGAAUAUUGCACAAUGGGCGAAAGCCUGAUGCAGCGACGCCGCGUGAAGGAUGAAGUAUUUCGGUAUGUAAACUUCUAUCAGCAGGGAAGAAAAUGACGGUAC
rnacentral:rRNA from 1 species